CCUGCCGCUCUCCAGGAAAAAGUGGUGGGUGGGGUUUUUCCUCUGGCGCCCCCUGGCGGUAGGAGGCGUGCAGUGAGACAUUUGCUCUGCCCUGAGGUUCCUGAUUCCUGCCACAGGGCCCCCAUCAUUCCCCCCUGCUGUUGUGAUAGAGGAGAAAGGAUUUAUUUUAGCUCACAGUUCCAGUCAUAUCCCACCCCAGCAAAGGUGGCAGGGCUUUACAGCAGCUACUCACAGGACGUCCACAGCCAAGAGCAGAGAGGUGGAUGCAUGCUUACUGCUCAACUCCGGUUCCCCAGACCCAGGGAAUGGUGCCACCCACGGUGGGCGUGUCAAUGUCAUCAAGACAAUCCCUACACACCAACCUGAUCUAGACGAUGCCAUGUGGAGACUCUCUUGCUAGUGAUUCUAGAGACCCACAUGAUGGAAGACAAGACCUGACUCCUACAAGUUUACUUCUGACAUUCUGACAUUCACAGAAGUGUGAGCCAAACCCUCUACAAGUAAAUAAGUGUAAUAAAAA